GACAAGGUUCCAGGCCCUACGGGGUGCAGCAGGCGCGAAACCUCCGCAAUGUGAGAAAUCGCGACGGGGGGAUCCCAAGUGCCAUUCUUAACGGGAUGGCUUUUCAUUAGUGUAAAGAGCUUUUGGAAUAAGGGCUGGGCAAGACCGGUGCCAGCCGCCGCGGUAACACCGGCAGCUCUAGUGGUAGCAGUUUUUAUUGGGCCUAAAGCGUCCGUAGCCGGUUUAAUAAGUCUCUGGUGAAAUCCUGUAGCUUAACUGUGGGAAUUGCUGGAGAUACUAUUAGACUUGAGACCGGGAGAGGUUAGAGGUACUCCCAGGGUAGAGGUGAAAUUCUGUAAUCCUGGGAGGACCGCCUGUUGCGAAGGCGUCUAACUGGAACGGUUCUGACGGUGAGGGACGAAAGUUAGGGGCGCGAACCGGAUUAGAUACCCGGGUAGUCCUAACCGUAAACGAUGCGGACUUGGUGUUGGGGUGGCUUUGAGCUGCUCCAGUGCCGAAGGGAAGCUGUUAAGUCCGCCGCCUGGGAAGUACGGUCGCAAGACUGAAACUUAA
rnacentral:rRNA from 1 species